ensembl:lncRNA
GCAAAGCUGAUGUUACUGGUGCAAAUGUAGAAGUUCUUGCUGUAGUAGCAGACACUAUUCGGCCUGUUGUUGUUGUCACUGUAUUUCCAGUUGUAGCUAUCCUGAUUGUUUCCGGUUCAUUGCUAACAGUUGCUGAUGUGGUUGUGCCCAAUGCAGUUGCUGGCAAUGCUGAUGUCACCGGUGCAAAUGUAGAAGCUUUGGGUGUAGUAGCAGACUCUACUAGAACUGUUGUUGUUGUCACUGUAUUUUCUGUUGUAGUUAUACUGAUUGUUUCCGGUACAUUGCUAAUAGUUGCUGAUGUGGUUGUGCCCAAUGCAGUUGCAUGUAAAGCAGAUGUCACUGGUACAAACGUAGAAGCUUUGGGUGUAGUAGCAGACUCUACUAGGUCUGUUGUUGUUGUCACUGUAUUUCCUGUUGUAGCUAUCCUGAUUGUUUCCGGUUCAUUGCUAACAGUUGCUGAUGUGGUUGUGCCCAAUGCAGUUGCCGGCAAAGCUGAUGUUGCUGGUGCAAAUGUAGAAGUUUUUGCUGUAGAAGCAGACACUAUUCGGCCUGUUGAUGUUGUCACUGUAUUUUCUGUUGCAGUUAUCCUGAUUGUUUCCAGUCCAUUGCUAACAGUUGCUGAUGUGGUUGUGCCCAAUGCAGAUGCUGGCAAAGCUGAUGUUACUGGUGCAAAUGUAGAAGUUUUUGCUGUAGUAGCAGACACUAUUCGGCCUGUUGAUGUUGUCCCUGUAUUUCCAGUUGUAGCUAUCCUGAUUGUUUCCUGUUCAUUGCUAAGAGUUGCUGAUGUGGUUGUGCCCAAUUCAGUUUCUGACAAAGCUGAUGUUAAUGGUGCAAAUGUAGAAGUUUUUGCUGUAGUAGCAGACACUAUUCGGCCUGUUGUUGUUGUCACUGUAUUUUCUGUUGUAGUUAUACUGAUUGUUUCCGGUACAUUACUAACAGUUGCUGAUGUGGUUGUGCCCAAUGCAGUUGCUGGCAAUGCUGAUGUCACCGGUACCAAGGUAGAAGCUUUGGGUGUAGUAGCAGACUCUACUAGGCCUGUUGUUGUUGUCUCUGUAUUUUCUGUUGCAGUUAUCCUGAUUGUUUCCAGUCCAUUGCUAACAGUUGCUGAUGUGGUUGUGCCCAAUGCAGAUGCUGGCAAAGCUGAUGUUAAUGGUGCAAAUGUAGAAGUUUUUGCUGUAGUAGCAGACACUAUUCGGCCUGUUGUUGUUGUCACUGUAUUUUCUGUUGUAGUUAUACUGAUUGUUUCCGGUACAUUACUAACAGUUGCUGAUGUGGUUGUGCCCAAUGCAGUUGCUGGCAAUGCUGAUGUCACCGGUACCAAGGUAGAAGCUUUGGGUGUAGUAGCAGACUCUACUAGGCCUGUUGUUGUUGUCUCUGUAUUUUCUGUUGCAGUUAUCCUGAUUGUUUCCAGUCCAUUGCUAACAGUUGCUGAUGUGGUUGUGCCCAAUGCAGAUGCUGGCAAAGCUGAUGUUACUGGUGCAAAUGUAGAAGUUUUUGCUGUAGUAGCAGAC